UAAAGUUUAAACCGAUGCGAGAAGUUAGAGCGGCAUGAGAGCGCGCGAGUUUUAGAGAGAGAAAGAGAGUGAGUGAGAGAGAUAGAGUGAGAAUAAUGCAGUGAAGAGAAGAAAGAAAAUUCAUCGAGAAAAUCACAAAUUUUCUUCACAUUUGUUAAAUUGUGCUCAUUGGAUUUGAAGUGUGCGAGAGAGGUUUUCCGAUGAGGUUCAAAUCAGUGGUGUACUAUGGAGAGGCGCGUUUAGGAGCGCUGGAAACUGUAACAGUGAAGGACCAGAAUUUCGUAUUUCCCAACAACGAGAUACGCAUCCACCAUAUCUCUCAGAACAGCGAGCGGUGCCGUCCUCUCGCUGUUUUUCAAACAAUUUCCUCCCCUGUUCGUUGCAAGCUUGAACCAAGCUCCGAUUCCAGCAACGUCUCUACUGCCGAGCAAUCUCCGUUGAUCAAUCUUCAUUCCUCUUGCUUCUAUGAACUCAAGACAGCAGUGGUAUUAUUAGGGGAUGAAGAAGUACACUUAGUUGCAAUGCCCAGUAAACAGAAGAAAUUUCCCUGUUUCUGGUGCUUCUCUGCGCCGCGUGGGUUAUAUGGUUCAUGUUUGGGAAUGCUAAAUAUGAGGUGUUUAUCUAUUGUGUUUGAUCUUGACGAGACGCUGAUUGUUGCUAAUACAAUGAGGUCAUUUGAGAAUAGGAUUGAGGCUUUGCGAGGUUGGACUGCACGAGAGACAGAUCCAGUUCGGGUGUUAGGUAUGUCAGCAGAGAUGAAGAGAUACACCGAGGACAGGGUAUUACUAAAGCAGUACAUAGAGGGUGAUUGUGUUGUGGAUGGUAAUAAAGUAUAUAAGGCUGUUCAAGAGGAGGUUCCCCAGUUAUCUGAUGGGCAUGAGCGCAUUCUUCGUCCAGUCAUAAGAUUGCAGGAAAAGAAUAUUGUCCUUACACGCAUCAAUCCAGAGAACCGUGACACUAGUGUGCUAGUCAGACUACGGCCUGCUUGGGAUGAUUUGAAAACUUAUUUGACAGCUAAAGGUCGCAAAAGAUUUGAAGUAUAUGUUUGCACAAUGGCAGAAAGGGAUUAUGCAUUGGAGAUGUGGAGGUUGCUUGACCUGGAGGCACAGCUUAUCUGCACAAAGCAAAUAGUGGACCGGAUUGUAUGUGUUAAAUCAGUGGCAAAAAAGUCUUUACUUAAUGUCUUCCAAGGUGGCAUUUGCCAUCCAAAAUUAGCAAUGGUAAUUGAUGAUUGUUUAAAAGUGUGGGAAGAUAUGGAUCAGCCUCAUGUUCAUGUAGUCCCUCCCUUUACACCAUAUUAUGCUCCGCAAGCCGAGACAGCAAAUGUUGUUCCAGUGCUAUGUGUGGCAAGAAAUGUCGCAUGUGAUGUUCGAAGUCGUUUCUUCAAAGAGUUAGAUGAGAGCCUACUACAAAACAUUGCCAACAUUUCUUAUGAAGAUGAAGGGGUGAAUUUACCUUCUGGACCUGAUAUUAGCCAUUACUUGGCAUUUGAGGACUCUGGUUUUUUAUCAAAUGGAAAUUUCAACCCUCCCAUCCCUAAGGGAAUGUGUGGACCUGCAGUUGCACAAAGAUUGGAUCAGCAGGAUGGGAAAAAUAAUAUGAAUCCUGCUACACCUUUGAUGCCUCUUAAUCCAGUACUGAAAUCUGAACACUCUCAAUCUGUUCUAGGAUGUGCUCCUAAUGUAUCUGGUUCACUGCCUAUCAGAGGAGGUUUGCUGUUAGAAAAACCUAGUUUGCUUGGAGUUCCAUUCAGAAGAGAUAACAACAUUUCUGAAACUGAUCGUGAUGGAAGGAGAAGAGUUAGGCAUCAAGGUUCGGCAGAGCCUCCUCUUUUAUCGAGAGUGCCACAAAAAAUUCCAGUGCUUCCCUUGCAAACACUGGGAUCCUGUUUGGUAGAAGAUGACACCAACAGAGGACAUUUUGGUAGCCAAACACAAGGACUUAUUCAAGACUUUGAUGCAUUUAGACCCGAUAAACAAGGUCUUUUACCAUUGCAUGUUUCUGCAAUGAAGAGUGAAGAGAAAAUUUCAAUGCAUAAGAAGAAUGUUCCAAAUCCAGUAACUGAUAUUGUUUCGCAAAAUCAGUUGCCCUCUGGUAAUAUAGACUUCCAACUGGAAGGUGGGAAAAUGAAUUUCUUACCCUCUAUAGCUAUUGGGGCGUUGCAAGAAAUUGGAAGGCGAUGCACCUCAAAGGUUGAAUUUAGGCCUGUUGUGAGUACCAGUGCUGAACUACAAUUUUCAGUUGAGGUCUUCUUCACUGGUGAGAAAAUUGGUGUUGGCGUGGGUAAAACAAUAAAGGAUGCUCAGCAACAGGCAGCUGCAAAUGCCCUACGUAGCUUAGCUGAUAAAUAUAUCUCCCAUGUUGAAUCUUAUAAUGGAGUGGUGGAUAAAGAUUUUAAUAAUCUUUCACUGGAAAAUGAAAAUGGAUUUUUGUGGGACUCUCUCAAUCUGGAAGAUAAAAAGCUGGCUGAUGGAAAAUUGGUGAAAGUAAAUGGCUCUGAGGUGGGACUCUGAUAUUAUUGCGCAUGAUUGAUUUGGUCUGUCUGAUUGUAAACAUAGGUGAUGCUUGGAUGUGAGAUGUGUGGAUAGCUCUUUCAAGAUGAGAGGUAGUGAUUAUUUUGAGUUAGAUCACUCCUUUCUGCAAUUUUGCAUCACCAGAGUUGAGAGCAAAAUGAGGAAAUUUGGAGUGAGCUGGCCUUAAUGUUCACUACCAUUAUCUUAGUAUCUUGUACAUAUUUCCUGGUUAGAGGUUGUUGAAGAGGCACACCAUAGGCCUUCUUUCAAUGGAAUAAAUGAAGAGGUGCUAAAAUGUAGCAAUUCUUCCAGGUAAUGUAAUGUGAAGACCCUAUAGCUAUAGAUAGAUUUUAUCAUUGCCUAGUUUUUUUUUAGUAGUAUUCGAUGUUUAAGCCUUAUAUGGGAAUGAAUUACGUAGAAAAAGGCAGACUCUCAUGUCCUCUGCGGUAAUAAUAAUAAUCUAUGUCCAACUUUGCUUAUAAAUUCUUGGUUU